rnacentral:rRNA from 1 species
GGAUCCCCAUCAGAACUCCGCAGUUAAGCGUGCUUGGGCGAGAGUAGUACUAGGAUGGGUGACCUCCUGGGAAGUCCUCGUGUUGCACCCC